ensembl:rRNA 5S_rRNA 5S ribosomal RNA
ACCUACCACCAUGUCACCCUGAAUGCUUCCAGUCUUGCCUUAUCUUGGAAGUUGAGCAGGGUUGGGCCUGGUUAAUACUUAAAAAUAGAGGUCUUUUUAGCUU